rnacentral:rRNA from 1 species
AGACCCGAAACCCGGUGAUCUAGCCAUGGGCAGGUUGAAGGUUGGGUAACACUAACUGGAGGACCGAACCGACUAAUGUUGAAAAAUUAGCGGAUGACCUGUGGCUGGGGGUGAAAGGCCAAUCAAACCGGGAGAUAGCUGGUUCUCCCCGAAAGCUAUUUAGGUAGCGCCUCGUGAAUUCAUCUCCGGGGGUAGAGCACUGUUUCGGCUAGGGGGCCAUCCCGGCUUACCAACCCGAUGCAAACUGCGAAUACCGGAGAAUGUUAUCACGGGAGACACACGGCGGGUGCUAACGUCCGUCGUGAAGAGGGAAACAACCCAGACCGCCAGCUAAGGUCCCAAAGUCAUGGUUAAGUGGGAAACGAUGUGGGAAGGCCCAGACAGCCAGGAUGUUGGCUUAGAAGCAGCCAUCAUUUAAAGAAAGCGUAAUAGCUCACUGGUCGAGUCGGCCUGCGCGGAAGAUGUAACGGGGCUAAACCAUGCACCGAAGCUGCGGCAGCGACACUCAGGUGUUGUUGGGUAGGGGAGCGUUCUGUAAGCCUGCGAAGGUGGCCUGUGAGGGUUGCUGGAGGUAUCAGAAGUGCGAAUGCUGACAUAAGUAACGAUAAAGCGGGUGAAAAGCCCGCUCGCCGGAAGACCAAGGGUUCCUGUCCAACGUUAAUCGGGGCAGGGUGAGUC